CCCUUAGAUGUUCGGGGCCGCACGCGCGCUACACUGAAUGAAUCAGCGAGUGUAUGUCCUAGGCCGAAAGGUCCGGGUAACCCGUUGAACCUCAUUCGUGAUUGGGAUAGGGACUUGCAAUUGUUUCCCUUGAACGAGGAAUUCCUAGUAAGCGCAAGUCAGCAGCUUGCGUUGAUUACGUCCCUGCCCUUUGUACACACCGCCCGUCGCUACUACCGAUUGAAUGGUUUAGUGAGAUCUUCGGAUUGGCGCCACUGCGGCUCAGCAAUGGGCUCGGUGGAUGCCGAAAAGUUGAUCAAACUUGAUCAUUUAGAGGAAGUAAAAGUCGUAACA
rnacentral:rRNA from 1 species